rnacentral:rRNA from 1 species
AACGAACGCUGGCGGCAUGCCUAACACAUGCAAGUCGAACGAGACCUUCGGGUCUAGUGGCGCACGGGUGCGUAACGCGUGGGAACCUGCCCUUAGGUUCGGAAUAACUCCCCGAAAGGGGUGCUAAUACCGGAUAAUGUCUUCGGACCAAAGAUUUAUCGCCUUUGGAUGGGCCCGCGUUGGAUUAGCUAGUUGGUAGGGUAAAAGCCUACCAAGGCGACGAUCCAUAGCUGGUCUGAGAGGAUGAUCAGCCACACUGGGACUGAGACACGGCCCAGACGCCAGGGGGCGGCGGGGGAGGGAGAUAUAGGGGAGUGAGCAAAAGGUGGAUCAGACGAGGCGGGGGGGAGGGUAAGGGGGUUGGGGUUUAAAUGCUCUUUGGCCGGGGAGGAAAAUGACGGUACCGGGAGAAUAAGCCCCGGCUAACUACGUG